rnacentral:tRNA from 1 species
GAAAUAAUAUUUAAAUAAGCUUCUAACUUAAAAAAUAAAUGAUUAAUAUCAUUUUUAUUUCU